AAUGCAGAGUUUAUCAGGCUUAUUGGUCGAUAAUCAGAGACAUGCUGGGGGGCCUGUGUUUUUGGUAUGAGCACAAUAAAUGAGGAGUUAGCCCCAUAUGGAACCACCCCUAAAUUGUGAAAAGAGUCAAAGAAAGCCUUAAUCUUUUUCCAGAUGUGAGGCCACAAGUGUUUUAUCCAGGCACCAUUCAACCCAUCCGGUCCUGGCGCUUUGUGCCCUCCCGACUCAGAUAAAGCUAACCAUAUUUCUUCAACUGAAAAUUCCUUUUC
rnacentral:lncRNA from 1 species